rnacentral:misc_RNA from 1 species
AAGGAGUCUAACAUCUAUGCGAGUGUUCGGGUGUCAAACCCCUACGCGUAAUGAAAGUGAACGGAGGUGGGAGCUUCGGCGCACCAUCGACCGAUCCUGAUGUCCCCGGAUGGAUUUGAGUAAGAGCAUAGCUGUUGGGACCCGAAAGAUGGUGAACUAUGCCUGAAUAGGGUGAAGCCAGAGGAAACUCUGGUGGAGGCUCGCAGCGGUUCUGACGCGCAAAUCGAUCGUCAAAUUUGGGUAUAGGGGCGAAAGACUAAUCGAACCAUCUAGUAGCUGGUUCCUGC